rnacentral:rRNA from 1 species
UACGUAGGUCCCGAGCGUUGUCCGGAUUUAUUGGGCGUAAAGCGAGCGCAGGUGGUUUAUUAAGUCUGGUGUAAAAUGUCCGGGCUCAACCCGGGCCGGCCGUUGAAACUGGGGAUCUUGAGUGGGCGAGAAGUAUGCGGAAUGCGUGGUGUAGCGGUGAAAUGCAUAGAUAUCACGCAGAACUCCGAUUGCGAAGGCAGCAUACCGGCGCCCGACUGACGCUGAGGCACGAAAGCGUGGGGAUCGAACAGG